rnacentral:rRNA from 1 species
UGGGGGAUUUUGGACAAUGGGCGAAAGCCUGAUCCAGCCAUGCCGCGUGAGUGAAGAAGGCCUUCGGGUUGUAAAGCUCUUUUAGUCGGAAAGAAAGAGUUGCAAUGAAUAAUUGUGAUUUAUGACGGUACCGACAGAAAAAGCACCGGCUAACUACGUGCCAGCAGCCGCGGUAAUACGUAGGGUGCGAGCGUUAAUCGGAAUUACUGGGCGUAAAGGGUGCGCAGGCGGUCUUGCAAGUCAGAUGUGAAAGCCCCGGGCUUAACCUGGGAAUUGCGUUUGAAACUACAAGACUAGAGUGCAGCAGAGGGGAGUGGAAUUCCAUGUGUAGCAGUGAAAUGCGUAGAGAUGUGGAAGAACACCGAUGGCGAAGGCAGCUCCCUGGGUUGACACUGACGCUCAUGCACGAAAGCGUGGGGAGCAAACA